UGUAUCAUCCAACGUCAAGAAC
rnacentral:misc_RNA from 1 species